rnacentral:rRNA from 1 species
GUGCCAGCCGCCGCGGUAAUACGAAGGGGGCAAGCGUUGUUCGGAAUUACUGGGCGUAAAGGGCGCGUAGGCGGUUGAUCAAGCCAGAUGUGAAAUCCCAGGGCUUAACCCUGGAACUGCAUUUGAUACUGGUCAACUUGAGUAUCAGAGAGGUAAGCGGAAUUCCUAGUGUAGAGGUGAAAUUCGUAGAUAUUAGGAGGAACACCAGUUGCGAAGGCGGCUUACUGGCUGAAUACUGACGCUGAGGCGCGAAAGCGUGGGGAGCAAACAGGAUUAGAUACCCUAGUAGUCC